CAGCCGUAAACUAUGCUCGCUAGGUGUCAGGGACGGUGCGACCGUUUCUGGUGCCGCAGGGAAGCCGUGAAGCGAGCCACCUGGGAAGUACGGUCGCAAGGCUGAAACUUAAAGGAAUUGGCGGGGGAGCACUACAACGGGUGGAGCCUGCGGUUUAAUUGGACUCAACGCCGGAAAACUCACCGGGGGCGACAGCAAUAUGUAGGUCAAGCUAAAGACUCUACCAGAAUCGCUGAGAGGAGGUGCAUGGCGUAGACGUCU
rnacentral:rRNA from 1 species